rnacentral:lncRNA from 1 species
CAAAAUUUCAGUAACAAUUCAGUGUAAGACUUAAGUUUCUAGAAACAACAUCAAAAUACCAAUGUGCAUGAUAAAGCAAAAAUGGAAUUCACAUAGUUAAGUCUGUGGCUGCUGUGUUUUUUUUAAACUCAUGAUCAAGUUCGUAAGAAAAUUACUAGAUUACAAAAGAAAUGCAACACUAACAGAAUACAGAAGGGCAAUCGAUGAACAAAAGACAAAUAAGAAACAUUGAUCCCGAAAAAUCAGGGCUACGUCUGAGGAAAAACAGAACUUGCUUCUUGUAAGGCACUCGCCGUGAACACAAUUUGAUAUGGAGACAAUCGUUUGGUUUUGAAAUUUCCUACACAAGGCAUUUGCCUCUAUGUAGUUACGGCCCUGUUAAAAUAAAAGUGAGGUAAGGUUUCUUGAGACAAUACACCUCAAGUUAAAUGAAAUCAAUUUUCAGACAUUUCAAGUAUAUUUAAAUGAUUUUAUACUUUUAUCAUUAAAAAAAUUGGGAAG